rnacentral:lncRNA from 1 species
CGGCGGCGGAUCCAGCACGGGCCGCGCGGGCGGCGGUGGGCAGCGCCGGAUCUAGCCGGGGCGACGGUGGAUGGAACUCACGACGACGGGCGGCGCCGGAGCUCGGCGCAAAGGGCGGAGCCAGGGUGGCGAGCUCGAGGCGGCGGUGGGUGGAGGAGUCUCUGCAAGUUGCCUCUUUUUUCUAACAACGCCUGCAAGUUUCCUUUUUUUUUCCUAACAAACCACGUGUGUCCUCUGCUGGAUGCGAGUGCUCUCAUUGCAUCUCUCUUUUUCGUCCACUUAGAGCAAGUAUAAUAUGCGAGUGAUCUCGUAUUGGAUCUGUGGAUGAGCUGGAAGGGAGAGAGAGUGGGAGCGGACGACUGUUUUA